UACGUAGGUGGCAAGCGUUGUCCGGAAUUAUUGGGCGUAAAGCGCGCGCAGGCGGUCUUUUAAGUCUGAUGUGAAAGCCCACGGCUCAACCGUGGAAGGUCAUUGGAAACUGGAAGACUUGAGUGCAGAAGAGAAGAGCGGAAUUCCACGUGUAGCGGUGAAAUGCGUAGAGAUGUGGAGGAACACCAGUGGCGAAGGCGGCUCUUUGGUCUGUAACUGACGCUGAGGCGCGAAAGCGUGGGGAGCAAACAGGA
rnacentral:rRNA from 1 species